rnacentral:rRNA from 1 species
GAUGAACGCUGGCGGCGUGCCUAAUACAUGCCAGUCGAGCGAACAGACGAGGAGCUUGCUCCUCUGACGUUAGCGGCGGAAGGGUGAGUAACACGUGGAUAACCUACCUAUAAGACUGGGAUAACUUCGGGAAACCGGAGCUAAUACCGGAUAACAUGUUGAACCGCAUGGUUCAACAGUGAAAGACGGUCUUGCUGUCACUUAUAGAUGGAUCCGCACCGCAUUAGCUAGUUGGUAAGGUAACGUCUUACCAAGGCAACGAUGCGUAGCCGACCUGAGAGGGUGAUCGGCCACACUGGAACGGAGACACGGUCCAGCCUCCUAAGGGAGGCAGCAGUAGGGAAUCUUCCGCAAUGGGCGAAAGCCUGACGGAGCAACGCCGCGUGAGUGAAGAAGGUCUUCGGAUCGUAAACCUCUGUUACUAGGGAAGAACAAAUGUGUAAGUAACUAUGCAAGUCUUGACGGUACCUAAUCAGAAAGCCACGGCUAACUACGUG